AUGUUACAGCAGCAUAUACACUAAAACUGGAAUAGUACAGAAGAGUACAGCACUUGCGCAAGAAUGACAUGCAAAUUUGUGAAGUGUUCUGUAUUUGG
rnacentral:snRNA from 1 species